CUUGAAGACGACGAGGUAGAUAGGUUGGAGGUGGAAGUGCAGCAAUGCAUGGAGCUGACCAAUACUAAUCGGUCGAGGGCUUAUCCUA
rnacentral:ncRNA from 1 species